GACGAAGGGGGCUAGCGUUGUUCGGAAUUACUGGGCGUAAAGCGCGUGUAGGCGGUUGCCCAAGUCGGGUGUGAAAUCCUUGAGCUCAACUCAAGAAAUGCACUCGGUACUGGGUGACUAGAGGACCGGAGAGGAUAGUGGAAUUCCCAGUGUAGUGGUGAAAUACGUAGAGAUUGGGAAGAACACCAGUGGCGAAGGCGGCUAUCUGGACGGUUUCUGACGCUAAGACGCGAAAGCGUGGGGAGCAAACAGG
rnacentral:rRNA from 1 species